UAGGAGUAGCAGCUAAUACAAGUAUGGUAA
rnacentral:piRNA from 1 species